rnacentral:lncRNA from 1 species
AUUUUGCACCAUGGCUCUUUCAUCAGAGAGAGCUGGGGGGUGGUGAGGGGAAGGUGGAGGCCGGCCUGGAAGGAAACCCGGGGGUCAGAGGAACCUGGGGGGCUUCACAAGGCUGGGGAGAGGGGUGUGCUGAAUGUGCUCUGCCACCCAGGUGUCAAGCUCUGGACUCUGGUCUCCAGCUCAGAGUAGAUGAUGCUGCCAGUGGAGACCAGGAGGCCGGUGGGGAGAGCCUGCCUGAUGGGGGAGCAGAGGGGUCCAUGUUCCCUUCCUCAGUCUGGAGACUAUUCCUAGCCUUGGGGCUGCACCUAGGGAUGGACUGAUCCAGGCUGAACCCACAUCUCUGGUGACAUGAGGGGUGAAGGGACUGCUCUGAAAGGUGAGUCCAGCCUCACUGAGGCUGUCAGGCCUCUGAGCAUCCGGCUCCAGGUCACUGGGUGUCAGGCUUCUGCUGGAAGGAGGUGAAGGAGCUUUUCCCACGGUGGCUGUGACCAGGCUCCCCUACCCUUGGCUGCAGAUCCCUGACCCUUCCCCUGGGCAAGCCUGAGUUGUCCAGCCAUGACUGUGUCAUUCAGACAUUCAUUCAUUCGUUCUACAGACUGGCUUGUAACACACCCUGGGUGCCUGACACAGAGCUCAUGGCCAAGAUGCCCACGCAGAUCUGUGCAGCGUCCCUGCUCCCAGGAGCAGCUGAGGACACAGGCUGUCACAAUUGGCCAGACCGAGUGUUGCAGUGGAGAUGGCACAGCCUCGAGUAAAGAAGGGGGCACCCCUCCAGGCAGGGGAGCCAGGUGGGUAAUAUCUGUGCUGAGUAACCAGGCAAACAAAUUGGUGAGGAAGAGCUGGGAAGGGCAUCCAGGCAAAGGGAACAGUGUGAGCAAAGGCCCAGAGCCAGAGGAGAGCCUGGGUGUUCUGGAGCUGUGCGUCACGACUUCCGAGGUGACGCAAUCCAAGGUGUGUCAACCUCCUGCGUCCAGGGCUCCCUUCUCUGAGCUGCCGUCUCCAGCUGACACCCACUUGUCUGUUUCUGCUGAACCUCCUCUAAGAUGGCUCCUCGGGACCCGCUCGAUCGAUAGACUAGAAACCAACUCAAGAGAGUUUGUACUGGGUUGAAUGUUGUCCCCCCCGAAUUCAUACUCCCCUGGAACCUCAGAAUGUGACCAUAAUUGGAAAUAAGGCCCUGGUAGAUCUAAUUAGCUAAGAUGGGCUCAUCUGGAUUCAGGUGUCCUUAUAAGAAGAGGGAAAUUUGGACAAAGAUUCGGACACAAGGGGAGAGCACGGUUUGAAGAUGGAGGCAGAGGUUGGAGUGAGGCACCUACAAGCCAAGAAACACCAAGGACGGCAGGCAGCCACCAGAAGCCAGGAGAGAGGCAGGGACAGAUUCGCCCUCGGGAUCUCUGGAAGGAACCAACCCUGCCAACACUGCAAUUUCAGACUUCUGGCCUCCUGAACCAUGAGAGAAUAAAUUUCUAUUGUUUUCUACCUUGUGGCAAUUUGUUACAGCAGCCCUAGGAAACUGAUAGAGAUUUUAAGCAGAAUAUGGGAGUAAGGCAAGGGGUGUAAGGGACUUUCAGGAGAACCCGGGGGCAAGAAUGCAGUGGGACCUCAAAAAGAUACAAAGACCAGGGGCUGAAAAGCCCAAAAUCUUCUCUCUCACCCAGGACCCUCUCUUCCUCCCUGCGCCUCUGCUUCGGGGCUGUCUCUCAGUCUCUCUUUCUCUGCACAGCAGCUUCUUCAAUUGCUUUAGUCCUUUCCAUGGGCUCAAGAGGCCCCAC